CUGCCUUAGAAGGAUGAAAGGUUGAGGCAGCUCUGUGAGCAUUUGACACUGAGUCCAGGAAUCUAAUUUUGUCCAGCCUGAUGAUGAGACUCUUAAAUCAUCCCCUCUGGCCUUUUAAUUAAAGCAAUCGGGCACAAAACUGGCAGCAGAACCACUAAUGGAGAGCAUUUCCAGCUGAGGCUGAAAAUUUAAGAUGAAAAGAUGGUGUGGAGCACAGGAGAAACAACUCUAUCUUUCUUGUGAUCUUGAGAUGGUAAGAGCUGGACAACCAAACUCCUCUGUCAUCAGCUGGGCUCCAGCUUGGACAUGAAAGAGCCUGACAAGCCCAACCACUUGCGAGCUGGCAUGCUGGGUGAUCUGCUCCAUCCACAGGAAUGAAGACGUGAUCCUCAGAAGGAUGAGAGGCUGGGAGAAGGUUACGGCUGAGCUGCUCCUAUCAUCAGGAAACUAGGGAGAUGGAGGAAAAAUAAAACUGCUGUGCUGUGCUGGGAAGACAGCUGUGAAGGGUCAGGUUUGCUGUUCUGGCCCUAAGGUGCUUUUGGAGUCUUGUUAUCCAGUACUUGUGGAAAGGAAGUUGUCACAUCAGCCUGGGUCUGACUGGGAGCUCGACAGGGCUUUGUUGAUGCAUCCCACUGCUCAUGCAUCAUGCUCAUCACUCUCACUGCAUCAUAGCUCUCACGCUCAUGAAGUGGGGCUGCCGCCGGGUAAGCUAGUCAGUCUUUCUUGUCACAUACUGGCAGAGUAAAGUACGGCUCAUAUCACAGAAAGGUCUAGGGUAGAGACCAGAGAAAGUCUGCGGAUAAUUUGCUAGGAGUGUUGAAUUAACCCAGCAAAACUCACCCAAGUCAGCCCAGUAGUUUGUGCUAGACUAAGCAUUUCAGCAUUCAGAGACUAAACAGUUGUAACUCUUGGAAAAGAAACACAUUACUGCAAGUUUUCCUGCAAGCAGAGUCUGUAGGGUAUUACAACAUGUCAGUCCAUCUAAAGGUGGUGAAUAUUUUAGUUACAGCUCAGGUUGCAGCCAGUGGGCUUGCCAGCAGGGCUGGACCUGACCUGAAGGGUGAGAGGCUUGUCCCUUCUCCAGUGCUGUCGCAGGGCAGCACAUGUAUUCCCUGAGUGUCGGUCACUGUAGGGCAGUGGUGCUGUCCUCCUGCUGUUAGUGGGCUCUACUGGGGCAAGGUGGAUCAGGCUGCUGGGCUUGGAAAGGUGAAAAUGCUCCAGGCUCUUGAACAUCAGACUCGGGAAUUUACUUGUUUCUUGCUCAGAGGAGGUAGCUUUUUGGAGUGUACAGAGGUUAAGCACAGUGUGAUGUUUUAUUCAUCUGUGUAUUCAGGGAGGAAGAAAAUGUGGUAGGUGUUGAGCUAUACAAAUGAGUGGACCCUAGGGUGAUGGCUCUGCCGUGAUCUUGUCUAGCAUGCCCUGCAAGACAAGCUAAUCUCCAUGAAACUGAAUCUUUGCAAAGCUGUGAGGAUGAACUAAGUGUGUUUUGCAAUGCACCAAGAAACAAAAUCUAGGUAUUUUUUUUAUCUCAUUGUUCUUAACCUGUGAAAUUUGGGACAAAGCUAGCUAUCUCUGCACUACAAUACUCUUCAGUCAGUUCUAACCUCAUUUCUUUUCUUCUUUCUUCCUUUUUUUUUCCCCCACCCCCUCUUUUUUUUUCCCCUGAACUGCUGGAGCUCAAUUACACAGCAGGAUUUGGCCCUCAUUUGCCUGAAGCUGACAGGAAAAUGAACAUCUGAUGAAGU
rnacentral:lncRNA from 1 species